rnacentral:rRNA from 1 species
GACGAACGCUGGCGGCGUGCUUAACACAUGCAAGUGGAGCGACGAACCAGGGCUUGCCCUGGGGCAGAGCCGCGAACGGGUGAGUAACACGUGGGUAACGUGCCCCAAUGAUCAGGACAACCCGGGGAAACCCGGGCUAAUACCGAAUGUGCUCCCCUCACACCAGUGCGGGAUGGAAAGGAAGCUUCGGCCUCCGCAUUGGGAUCGGCCCGCGGCCCAUUAGCUUGUUGGUGAGGUAACGGCUCACCAAGGCUGCGAUGGGUAGCUGGUCUGAGAGGACGAUCAGCCACACUGUGACUGAGACACGGCCCAGACUCCUACGGGAGGCAGCAGUGGGGAAUCUUGCGCAAUGCGCGAAAGCGUGACGCAGCAACGCCGCGUGGGGGAAGAAGGCCUUCGGGUUGUAAACCCCUUUCAGGAGGGACGAAGCGUGGGCGGUUAAUAGACGAUCCACGUGACGGUACCUCCAGAAGAAGCCCCGGCUAACUACGUGCCAGCAGCCGCCGCGGUAA